rnacentral:misc_RNA from 1 species
GAUGAAGAACGUAGCGAAAUGCGAUAAGUAAUGUGAAUUGCAGAAUCCCGUGAACCAUCGAGUCUUUGAACGCAAGUUGCGCCCGAAGCCAUUAGGCCGAGGGCACGCCUGCCUGGGUGUCACACACCGUUACCCUCGCGCCAACGUCCAUCGUUGGCCGCGGCGCGGGGCGUGCGCUGACCUCCCGCGAGCGGGGUCUCGUGGUUGGUUGAAAAUCGAGUUCGCGGUCGAGGGUGCCGUGAUGAAAUGGUGGAUGGGCGACGCCCGAGGCCAAUCACGCGCGACUCUGUCCGGCUCGGACUCCUGGACCCCUUCGGCGUCUCCGGACGCUCUUUGGCGAGACCUCAGGUCAGGCGGGGCUACCCGCUGAGUUUAAGCAUAUCAAUAAGCGGAGGA